GACAAUAUAAGACUAUCAGUGCUUUACUAAUCAAUCAUAAUUCAUUUUCGCGGAGGAUAAAGAAUCGCCUAUAUGCCUGUGAGUAUUGUUAUCUUCACAUCUAUGAUGUUUGCUAUUAUUCGUUAGCAUUAAGUUAGCGGGGGAUCCUCCCAUUUGUGGUCUCUUCUCAAGGUUUCUUAUUUUUCCCCAGUAGGGGUUUUUGAGUUUUUCCUUGCCCUCCUGGGAGUUAAGAUCAGGGGAUGUUGAAAAUAAUUGUCAAUUUUGCAUAUGAGAAGCUCUUUGAGACUUGUCUGUGAUUUAGGGCUAUGUAAAUAAACUUGACUUGUUCUCAUCUUGACAAAUGUGUAAGUCAGGUCACUCGUAUCUCAAGGCACCGCUUUACCAGCAGAUUACUGCCAACAAAAUUUCAGGUAGUCAUCAAAUACGCCACAACAACCCACAGAAUAAAUGAUAGGCGACUGUGAUUAGAAAUAAAUAAAUAUAUCAAAAAACAAAAUGCCUGAUGUUUCAUGUAGACAUGCAUCACAAGCACACUCUCUGCACGUCAAACACUCAAGUGUGUGAAAACUAGUACUACACACACUGGCUCUAAAGAUACGCAUGUAUCUAAAUUUUCUCCAGAUAUACACACACAUUGAGUCUGCUCUAGAAUACUGUUAUAUUGGUGCACACCCUCUCCCCACUUCAAAAAGGAAC